rnacentral:rRNA from 1 species
AGAGUUUGAUCCUGGCUCAGAACGAACGCUGGCGGCGUGCCUAACACAUGCAAGUCGAACGAGAAAGGGGCUUCGGCCCUGAGUAAAGUGGCGCACGGGUGAGUAACACGUAGGUAACCUGCCUUCGAGCUUGGGAUAACCCGUCGAAAGAUGGGCUAAUACCGGAUAAGACCACGAUUUCUUAGGGGAUUGGGGUCAAAGGUCGCCUCUGCAUGCAAGCGAUCGCUUGAAGAUGGGCCUGCGCACCAUUAGCUAGUUGGUAGGGUAACGGCCUACCAAGGCCAAGAUGGUUAGCUGGUCUGAGAGGAUGAUCAGCCACACUGGAACUGAGACACGGUCCAGACUCCUACGGGAGGCAGCAGUGGGGAAUAUUGCGCAAUGGGCGAAAGCCUGACGCAGCAACGCCGCGUGAGUGAUGAAGGCCUUCGGGUCGUAAAGCUCUGUCGGAGGGAACGAAUGUCUUGGGAGUUAACAUCUCCCGGGAGUGACGGUACCCUCAAAGGAAGCACCGGCUAACUCUGUGCCAGCAGCCGCGGUAAUACAGAGGGUGCUAGCGUUGUUCGGAAUCAUUGGGCGUAAAGGGCGUGUAGGCGGUUUGUUAAGUCAUGUGUGAAAGCCCCCGGCUCAACCGGGGAACGACGCAUGAAACUGGCAAGCUAGAGUACCGAAGAGGGGGGUGGAAUUCCCGGUGUAGCAGUGAAAUGCGUAGAUAUCUGGAGGAACACCAGUGGCGAAAGCGCGUGACUGGGCCACAACUGACGCUGAGGAACGAAAGCCAGGGGAGCGAAAGGGAUUAGAUACCCCUGUAGUCCUGGCCGUAAACGAUGGAUACUAGGUGUAGGAGGAUUCGACCCCUUCUGUGCCGUAGCUAACGCGAUAAGUAUCCCGCCUGGGGAGUACGACCGCAAGGUUGAAACUCAAAGGAAUUGACGGGGGCCCGCACAAGCGGUGGAACAUGUGGUUUAAUUCGAUGCAACGCGAAGAACCUUACCUGGGCUUGACAUCUACGGAACCUUCUGGAAACAGGAGGGUGCCUUCGGGAGCCGUAAGACAGGUGGUGCACGGUUGUCGUCAGCUCGUGUCGUGAGAUGUUGGGUUAAGUCCCGCAACGAGCGCAACCCUCGUGGUCUGUUGUUACAGGUCGUAAGAUGCUGAACCCUCAGGCCAGACUGCCGGUGACAAACCGGAGGAAGGUGGGGAGUCGUAACAAGGUAACCGU